UGUUUUCAGUAAGUAUACCGCCGUUAUGAGUUUAUUUUUUUAGAAUUUCAAUUUACUUUAAAAUUAAUUUUUUUAUAUUUCAGGUCAAGGUGCAGCUUAUAAUCAAGCAAGAGGUGAAUUACAAUAUUAUUAUGAUAUAUGGAUUUUUGCUUGAAAUAGUGAAUGAAGGGGGAUUUAAUAAUAAUUUUAUUUAUUAUACUAUUUUGAUUUUGGCUCUAAAAUAACU
rnacentral:rRNA from 1 species